rnacentral:rRNA from 1 species
GACGAACGCUGGCGGCGUGCUUAACACAUGCAAGUCGAACGGUAAGGCCCUUCGGGGUACACGAGUGGCGAACGGGUGAGUAACACGUGGGUGAUCUGCCCUGCACCUCGGGAUAAGCCUGGGAAACUGGGUCUAAUACCGGAUAGGACCACUGCCUGCAUGGGUGGUGGUGGAAAGCUUUUGCGGUGUGGGAUGGGCCCGCGGCCUAUCAGCUUGUUGGUGGGCUGAUGGCCUACCAAGGCGACGACGGGUAGCCGGCCUGGGAGGGUGACCAGCCACACUGGGACUGAGAUACGGCCCAGACUCCUACGGGAGGCAGCAGUGGGGAAUAUUGCACAAUGGGCGCAAGCCUGAUGCAGCGACGCCGCGUGAGGGAUGACGGCCUUCGGGUUGUAAACCUCUUUCAGCACCGACGAAGCGCAAGUGACGGUAGGUGCAGAAGAAGGACCGGCCAACUACGUGCCAGCAGCCGCCGUAC